CCGUUCUGCAGAAGAAAGAGGUGAUAUUUGCAGCCAUUUGAAUGAUGGCGUAAAAGCACAGGACGAGAUCCUGCAGUGCAGACUGCUCCUGUGCCUUCGCAUUUCUGCAACCUCUCUCCAUGGGCUGUCCCAUCGAUUCCAGAUCUGUUUCAGGAGCCUGGCAGGGAGGUCAGUGGGUUGAGGGGGUGCACAGCAGCCAUAACUGAGCCACCAAGGCCACUGAGAUGCCUUGGUCAGCGUCCUCCAGGUGGAUGAGGCAGUGGAUGACUUCAGGGGUGGGAUGUCUUCUCAAAGGUGUAGCAGUAUUACUGAGAUCUUUAUCCCCAGCAGAACUUUUGUGUUGCCCAUCAGGCCUCAUGGGAUAAUAGACCACUAAACGUGUAUCUUGAAAAUUUACUCCCUAUAGUCUAUCGGAGACUGUGUGGAGGGAAUGCCUCUAGCUCCAGACAUGCUAUUGCCCGUGAUUACUGAGCUGGUUGUAGUUAUUUCUAGGUAAAACAUUAAUCAUGAUGGAUUGAUUUUUUUAUGUUUGGGAUAUGUGACCCUAAAGAAACAAAUUUUAGCGGAGUAUUAAUUAAAUGCUGAUUCCUGCCAUUAACCAGUGCUUUAAAAAUGUUUAACACAGCCUGUGUGUGGCAAAGUGCUUUCAUAAUAGUGCAGUUUUCUAUUUGUUAUCUUUUCCAUUGUUCCUCCACCUUGAGUUGUGGUUGUAUUGUUAUUUUUCCUUUGAUUUUUUUACCUUUACCCAUCUUUCUGAUUUUACUGCCCAGAGUGGAUGGAUACCCUAAACUGUGCAAGACAUCCGUGCUUUAAGAAUGGUGAGAAAUAGAAAUGUUUUAACCUCUUGGGACAAAAUACUAUGGGCAUUGCUUUACAACUGAGGGGAACUGGUUUUAUCGAUUGCCCCUCCCCUCCAAUUUAAAAAAAAUGAAUCACCUAACAGCAAAGGCCCCUUAUGUGUUGCAGCACAAGAGGGCAGUGUUACGUUGAAUUGAGUCGCACAAGGGUACGAUUAGCAUGGGAACACUUUAUGGCUGAUUAAUUUACCCUGUUUGUGAGGAGGUGACUGCUUGGGAAGCUCAGGGUGAGGCCAGCUCCCCGGUGGGGCUCGACAGUGGAAGAGGCAGUCAAGUUCAUAAACCACCUUCUUCGCCUGGUUUGGUGUCAGCUGCCUUGUGACACUGCCGGGCAGAGCAUUUUGGGGCACAGGUUUUGCUCCAGGGUUCUGACAGCCACCCUGACCCCCAUGGGGGUCUGCUGUGACUUACAGCACCCAUCUGUCUCUGCCUACUGGGUUUUCCAAUCCUACCUUGGGCACAGGGUUGCAUUGGUGGCUCUUGCCUGAAAACUCAGCAAAGCAGCUGCUUCAUUAUCUGCAUCUGGAUUUAACAGAGCAGGAAUGCAAAUUCUUCACCAAUUCCCUCCCGUGUCAUGGCUGGGGGUAAUAUGUCCCAGCUCCCACUGUCUCUGAUGGAGCUGCUGGAGCACUUGUGCCAUGUCACAUUACCCAGCAUCCACAGGAACAAACUGGGCUGGUCCAACACAGAGGCUUGCCAGUCCUGAACUGUGUCAGUAAAUGACAACCUUGUCAGUCAAUGCCUUUUAUGAGGCAAUAAAAGAGAAGAAGUUAAAAAAAAAAAAAAUAUUAUGCAUGGGAACAGCUGUGAGUGUAUAAAACUAAAGGUGUCCUCCCAGGGAAAGGAGGGAUGGGGAGAGGAACCUCUCCACAAAACAAGCAUCACUCCCCCGCAGGGUACCAGAAACCUGAUCUUUCACAGCAUGGUCCUGUUUUACUGGGAGCUGCCUGGCCUCUGGGGCUCCUUUGUCAGCCUCUGUUUUUUCAUGAAUGAUCUGAGAGUGUGGCUUAUCUCUUCCUCCCUGUUUUCAAGGUAGCAUGACAUUAAAAGCAAAGGUUUUACAUGUAACUGUAGUGGCUGAUCUUGAAACAUGUAUUACUGCACAUGCAAAGAAAAGGUUGAGUAUAGAAAUGCAUAAUUUAUUUAUGCCUGAAGGCUGGUUGCUUUUAUGUUCUCUAGUUUUCUGUUGGUUGUACAUGCCUGGGAAUGGACUUAAAUCACUGACAUGAGCAUGGUGCUCUGAACAUGAAAUGGAGGCCACUAAAGGAUUCAUCUGUGCUUCAUACUGUCUCAGCCAAGCCUGCCCAUCUCAGGUGGUGCAAAGUCUUAGGAGACCCCACUGCAGGCUCAAAGCCUCAGGCACUAUCAUUUUUUCAUGUACAAGAAAAAAUACCUUGUUUUAAUAGGAAUUAAUUAGCAGUUUAAAUACUUGCAGGGCAGGAAAUUCCCCAUGGGGCUAACUUGUUAAGGUUUCUUUACACAUUACCUCCCAGGAGGAUGCAGACUUUCCCUCAUUUUCCAGCAUCUCUUGCUGCUUCAGCAUUAACUCCAGUAAUUGUAUUACAGCUGCAAAGUAAUGCAACUGCAACCAUAAAAUCUUUCCACUGCUCCUCUGUUCUCUUGUGUUAGAUAGGAUUGUGAUGGGCAAUAAUUUAUAAAAGAGUUAUAGAAUCUGAGGUUAUAGUGUCACAUAUUCAUGUCCAGGGUGCCUUAAAGCAGUGACAAGGUGAUAAUGUCAGUGUAACCACACACCCAGUUUGCAUUAUUUAUUGCUCUCAUAAAUGACAAAUUUGUAUUUUAAAAUGAUUGAGACAUUUAUCUGCUGUCCCAAAAAGCCAAAUUACGAAUGUGACAUAAUCUUAUCUCUAGGACAGACAUUCCAUUUUAUUAUUGGCAUUUAAUGAGAGAAUGUGUAAUUGAAGGAAAGUAAUUAACCUGUUUCUAGGAACCUUGUAGCUUUAAUAAACAGGCAGCUAAUGCAGCUGUAAGUGUGUUGCUGGGAGCCCUGUCUGCCAAAGCCGACUUCUGAGACAGGUGGUCUGCAUUACAAUGAGAGAGAAGACAGUGUAGGAAUGUCUACAAAAUGGUACCACAGAGUUGCAUUCUCUUUAGGAGUUUUAAUUUUUGAGACAUUUUGCAAAGGGGUGAUUUCUCCUCCUGUGGGGUGACCAGUAAGUUGGGGCAGGGGUUGAAGUGAGAUGAAUCCCUGCUGAACCCUGGUGUGGCUUUACCACAGAUAUAACAGUCCUGGUAAUUUGGGAGACCCUCACAUGUGGUGACUGAAUAGGACAGGAAUCCCAUUCAGUUUUCUUUAUCUAGUGACAAUCACUAAGACUUGGAGUGACCAACUAGUAGAAGCAGUUAAAAAUUAAGUAAUGUUGAGUUAUCCUAUCAGCAAAAAACAGUGCUGUUAGUCUGGGCUGGCUCUCCACUGAUGUGUCUGCUCUGUGUGGUGUGGCUUCUCCCGUGCCACACCUGCUGCAGCGUGAGAUGCUCUGCUGGAAGCUGUUCUUGCUGCACAUAGCAAGAGAAGACAACCACAAACAAAUUCUGUGGGUCCUCUGUCACUGUUCCACAUUUUCCCCUUUUUGAAAAAUGUGACUCGUUCCUAUAGUUUAAAGCCCUUUCUGGUUGUGGAGGUGUAGAGUGUAUCCAGAAGGACAAUAAGCACGAGUAGCAGGAAGAGAAUUUGCAAGUAGGUAUAUGGGAAAACUUAUUCACAAUAUAUGUGGUGAAACGCUAGAAAAUGUGGGAUCCUGGAGAUAUUCAGAUACUCUACACUAGGCCCUGAGCAACUUGAUCCACCUUUGACAUGAGCCCAGCUUGGAGCCAGAGGUUGGGAUCAGUGACUUCCAGUGAUGUCUCCCAACCCAAACUACUCUGAAUCUGGAAGCUGAUCUGCUCCCUGACCACUUGAAUCCCAGAAAGUGCUUGUCUGGCUGCCUCGGGAUAUGGGGGCUGUGCCUCUGGGUAAGACAGGGAUGAAGACCUCUAUCUGGAAGGUGUACAGCAUCUGUGCUGUACCUGCCCCAAAUACAGGUGUGUGCUGUGCUUUUGGUGCUGCCAGGCUUAUCAGCCUUUCGUGCAGUUUAUUACAGGGAUACGAGGAAAUUAUAUUUAAGAGCUCAUGCAAAUUAUGAGGAUGCUGGGAAGCUGUUCUGACACCUGACAAGCCACUGCUCUUCUGCUCUAAAAAUUCUCUGUAUCUGCUUAUCCUUUUCAAAGUGACACCAGUAUGAAUGUGUCUGAUUCUGUAAAGUGUGCUUUUUCUGCAGGCAUUCAAGCUACUUUGAGCUGCAUGAUUAUGAGAGCUUAGUCUCAGCUCCUGGUUUGCUGUCACCAUCAGCAUUCAUAACCAUUGCCUGAGAGGCACUGGGUGGUGCCAAUCAAGCUCUGGUGCAGCUGCAGGUGAGUGCAUUCCUCUACUGGAGCCUUGGCACGCCUUGUAUCACUGUCACCCUGUGAUGAUUCCCUCACUGCACUGGAUAGUCAGGAAGGUAAGGAAGGCUGUGCCUGUAAUUUAAAUGAGAAUCUGGCUCGUCUGAGGUUCACAGUCCUGCCACAAGGUUAAUUACUUUAAAUAAAUAUGGCAGUGAAAUCUUCCAUUAUCUUCUUUGGUAUACUGAUAGAAAGUUCAAGGAAAAGAAAACUGAUAUGAAUUUACACUUCAGAAUUGUACUACGUCUGGAAAAUAUUUGCCCUGGUGCAGUUGCUGACGAAGUGAUAGUAUGGACAGCAGCAGGCUUAUCUGUGUGGGGAAAUGUCUGGACCAGCAAAUCAUUUCUCAUGUAACCAAAGCCUAGACAGUUCUGUAAGCUGGAUACAUGGCCAUGGCAGGAGGAAGGUGCCAUAAAAUUCAGACAAAUGACCAUAACCACCCAGAGGUUUUCUAUUUGCUGCAACUAAUCCAAGCUGGGUGUGUGUGGUGUGGCGUGAUGCCAGCACCUUCCUUGGAUGCACAGCCACUGGAAGCUGAGCGUGCAUGCACGAGGUGUCAGCUGGCUGGGGAUUUGCAGUUGCAUAAUGGGAUGGAGCAUAAAUUCAAGUCCUGAUAUUAUCUCUGGAGAUGGCAUUGGAACUAUUUGACACCUUAUCAGUUCAUAACAUGUCGGCUUUUGAAACACUCCACUUGAAUUUAUGAGCUUUGCCUGUGAAAUGGCGCUGUGCAAUGCACUCAGGGCAGCUAUCAUGGGCUUCAGAUGUCAACUGCCAUGCCUGCCAUCCAGUUUAGUGCAAGAUAGUCCCCUGUACAGCUGUGGUUUUGGCUUCUUGUUCCGAGUUUUCAAAACAAGGGUAUAGUGGCUCCUCCAGUGCUGGCUCUCCAUCCACCACCUCCAUCCAAAGGUCCCCGAGCAGGGAAGCAGCCCCUGAGCUGGUGUCUGGUGCUCCAGCACAGCUGCAGGAACAGCCUCCUGCCUUGCCAAGGAAUGAAAAAGGGAAGGAGGUUCAUUUUCUGCGGUGAGCUCAUAUUCUGAGAAUGGGCCGUGGUGGCUUAUUGCUAACAUAUGCAGCACUAGACUAUACACAGCCAGGGCUUGGGGGGUGGCUGGGGAUUGCCUGCAAUCCCAAACAACAAAGCAGGAGAGGUUUACAGGGGGGUGACAACGGCGAUUGCACCUCCUCAUGCUGCCAAGAGGCCAGACACUAACUGGCCAGAUGUUAACACCGAGGGGUUUUAACCAGUCACAGUGCUUUGAAGUUUUUUUUCCUGAGCUCUGAGUGUAUCUUUUGAAAGGCUAAAAUACACUUCGAGUGCUGUGUUGUCAUUGCGGCGUCCGGUCCUGCUGUAGGAUGUACCAGUGUCUCAGAAUAGAAGGCAUAUAUUUUUUUGUUGAGAUUUAGUUUCUGAAUGAGUGAAAGAUCAAGCAAUUGCCAUAAAGCUUUUCUCUGAGUAAUGCUCUUGUCCUUCUAGAUUUGGGUGACUAUCUGACACAGUCUAUAUUGGCUGACGAUUAAAGGGUAGAGGGAGACUGUGGGUCUGGCUGCAGUUUCCUUCCACCCUGUCCUGGCAAAACAAAGCAAAGACAAAUGUGACAUCCCGCCCCGUGCAUUAGGUAGGGGAGCAGUUUAGGGACUCGGAGACUGGGGGAUGCUGGGCUGGGCUGCCCUCACCGAUGGAGCCAGGCUGACUCCAUACUCCCUGGCUGGAUUGCGUGGGGAAGGGAAGCACAUGGGAACUUGCAGCUCUGUGACGCUGGGCACUGGAGGGAUCUUGGUGGAAAAGCAGGCAAAGUGCACUGAAGGUCUUCUAGAAAGGACCAUACAGUCUUCAGAAGGCUUUCAGGUCAUGUUGGAUUAACAUGCAUUGAGAAAGCUGAGGUGUAACUGAUCCUUGGUAUAAGGGUGUGCUAGAGUCCAGAAAUGCUGAGCUGAGGUCCUUCCCAGCCUUUUCACCCCUGUGAAUCUCCAACCAUGACCCUCUCACGGUGUGACUGAGUCUAAGCUCACAAAGAAACCAUGUUCUUCAUGACCUCAAACUGUGCUUUGCAGAGGUGUUACUAGGCACACCUCAACCACAUUUUUUUCUCCCGGUGACGGCAUGGCUAUGCUGAGUGUUUGUUUUGAGCUCCUCUAUCCCACAGGAGGUCACCAGGGCAGAGGGAUGCUGGGGAUGCCAGGAGCUCUGGGUCCAUCCCAGGAGCCACCUUUCUCCACACUUUAGCAGGUAGGCAGUGGUGAAGCCAGAAAGGCAGGGGAGGAGGACAUGUAAAAAGCCAGACAUGGUUUAUACCCAAAGGCCAGACAGAAUCAAUAUGUUCCCACAGAACAUAUUGCAUCUAAUCAAUGUUUGCUGGUGGAGAAUUUCUGACACGCUUGAAACCUAAGGCUGGAUUUAUUUGCAAAUGCCUAGUGAGUGAUAAGCAGGUGAUUUAGUACAACAUUUAUUUUGCACUGGAAAAAGAAACAUAUUAAGGCCAGCACAAUUUUUUUACUCUGUGAAGUUGGGAAUGGUGACUGCCCAGCAGGUCAUGGCAGAAGCUGUGUCUGCUCUACUUCUGGGCCAAUUGUUGAGUUUUUGCUACUAGAGAUGGCAAAAAAUAACCACUGUUAAUUAGAGUUGGGGAGGUGCCAGUUCUUGAUUUGGAAUAAAACUGAAAGUGCUGGCAAUUUUUAGGAAAAGCUUUUUCUUGCAAAACAAUUGAGAUUCAGAAAUCACUAGGUCACAGCUCUAGUGGUGCUUACAGGAAACAGUAAUAAACCCCCUUAGCUAGCUGGGGAAAAAAAACCCAAACUCUUCUUUUUUAGUAUGCUGUAUUCAGCCUCUUCUAGAUGAAGACGCCAAACAGAUUUACCAGCAGAAUAAAGAGCCCUUCCUUGCUUUAUAUUGGGUUGGGUAUGCUAUUGCAAACUGUUGUUUGUACAGUAAGCUAAAGAAAACUUCUGUAGCAUGAAGGAUUUUGAGAUCCCAGACUUUCAUCUUGUCCUGGAUCUGCUCAAGAUAUCCUCCAUGAAAAAAAUGAAGCUUUAAAAACAAAAUCACUGUUAUGCAUAAUAAAGCCACUACAGGAAGUGUUGUUUAUACACAAAUAUGUAAAAAUCAAACCAGAUGCAGGAGGACACAUUUCAGCUCUAUGAAAGCAAAAGGAAUUGCUAACUCCUAGAUGAAGGCGAUGAGUUGAAAGAGAGCAGUUUGCACAAAAUGUGUGAAUACGAUCAAAAUGGCAGUUUUUGCUGAAAAGAAAGAAGCAGAAACUCUGCAGGGAAGUUUUUACCCAGCUGUGAAGCAGGGGGGUCAAGGCAGAACGCUGGUGCACAUUUCGGUUGGUCACAUCAGCGAAAGCCAGGAAAAAAUCAUUAAUCCACCGCUUUUCCCCACAAGGUUGUGGGUUAUAACUGAGAGAGACAGCCCAAAACUUCACCGCAGGGCCCUUCCUGGCUGAGAGUCCUUUUGCCAAGAUGUCCUACAGGAGUGAUCUUCCUGAGGUGGCCUUGCUCACGAGACCUGGCCAAUGGGAUUUGUGGCAUAUAGGGGCCAGGAGGGACAGGGAAGGGAACAUCUCCUGUCCCUAUUCCCUUUCCUUCCACUGAUUGCCUGGUGCCAUCCUACACUGAGUCUCCCCUUUUCUUUUCCAGUGAAUUAGAGAAUCCAGGGGGAGAAGUGCAUGUUUUGUAUGUCAAGGUGAGAGCCUUGGUCUUGACAGCCUCAGCAAGAUGCCUUUGGUCUGGUGGGAGAAGCUCUCCUCUCUGCAGGCCUUGAAGUGUGCCAGUGCUUGAUAAAUCUAAUUUGGUCCAAAUUUACUGCAAGACACCAUCUCUUCAGAAAAGCGUGUUUACUUUCCUUCUGGCAGUGACCCAGCAACACAACACUAGGACUGCACAGAAUUGCAAGUGCAGUGUAUUGAAUUAUUGCUGCUCCUUUGACUGACAUGCAGAAUUGAAGUUAUAACUGAUCUGGUUUUCCAUGGAAAUCUGUUACAUUUAAGUAUACCUAAUUGAAUACAUCUUAUCUGUACAAAGGGACUGCUUGUCCUAUUGCUUCUCUGUCACUCUGGGAUUGUAUUAAGGUGCCUCAUUUUGCCCAGAAUAUGUACCCUUACAGACUUGAGCAUUGUAGCAAGUUUUCUGUGACCUUUUUAUUCAACUCCCUCCUGGCUGCGCCUACCAAAAAGAAGAAAAAAAAGAAUAAAAAGAAGCUUCUCCAGUCUCCAUUCUUACUUUUGUUGUGGGACCCAGAAAACUCAGCUUUAUACCUUUUAUUUCAGCCAGGCACUAGUCGGCUGACUUCUUUCUGUAUAGUGCACGGUCUCUUCUCCCAAUUACCAUGACUGUUGGAGCUUUAAAGUUGAUGGUUUUAUGUUGUUGGAAUAUAAACUGAUCAUUAGAAAUAUUAAUAAUGACUGCUUGACUUUAUAAUUAGCCAUGUAUCUACAUUGCAUUCAGGAGCUGUUAGUCUUCAAUGAACACAUUCCAAAUAAUCCAUUUAUAUUUAAAUAAAUUGACAUGCACUAGCUAUCUCAAUCAAUCUAAAUCUGAUUCCUGCUUAGAAGCCUCUCCUUUGCCACUUAUAUUUUUUCUUAGGAGAGUAGCAGUUUCCUUGGGUUUGGGAGCCCCAGAAGGGGUGCUCCCUGCUCCCCUUGCAUCUUCUUCAUCCACCAGCUAUGGGGAAAUUCAGAUCAUGAUAGCGGGUCUGUAACAUUGGUGGGACAGAGGCUUGCAUCUUUUGUCACUUGCAUGAAUUAUUGGAUGUCUCCAGCAGAUAAUAAGAUUCCUUGAAUCUGAGAUUGUUAAAAAUUCACUUUCAUUUUUCCCUGCAUAAAAUUUAAAAUUAUCUGCUAUUGCUUAUAAUAGUUUGAUUUAAGUUUGUUGGUCACUUUAUUGAUUUACUAAAUUAAAGGCUCUUCUGGCUUAUUGUCACACCUGAUUGAAUUCCAGGUAACAGGUACAUGAAGGAGCUUCAUAGCAGUCAACCACAACAUGCAGAUGAGAUGAUUGCAGAGAGCUGGAACUUUGAGCUGAGCUUUCACUGCACAGUUUGGAUCCUGCCAGACCCAGGGAGAUGAGUUUUGUGAUUCAAUCUCCCACCCAUGAAGAUUAUAAUUUUCAGUAUCCUGAAGCUACUAAUAAUUUACCCAUUUGGGGCAAAUAUUUGAGUACAUGUAAGCAAGAAACUCAGUUACCAGAUUUUUGGGAGAAGGAGUUGCAUUUUUACGCCUUUUUGGGCUGUCAUCCCUCAUCAUGCCUUGCUCAUUUGUGUGGAUAUUGAAGAGGAGAAGACCAUACUGUUUCUGCAGAUGGGAGGACUAGUCCUCUGCCAGUGGACACUCUGUAUGACAUUGCUAAAGCCACAUUAGACCUCAGGGGGUGAAGAUCACAGUGAUGAGUUUCUCUUUGGGGGAGAUUGAGUUUUUUCACUAGCAAAAGAGAGGGGUGCUGUCAAAACCUGAGGAAAUUAUUCCUCCCCAGGGGACCAGAGUAGGUGUGAAUAUCUCUGCCCUGAACAAAGACUUCGAACCCCACCAGGGAGUUCCUGAAGGUGAUGAAAACAUUGUUUUUAACUGGUUUGCAAUAUGUUUUUAUCCCCAUGAAGCUCCUAUGAAAACACACACACACACAACACAUCUUGCUGCAGAAUGGUCUUACUUCUCUACAUCUUAUUCUUAGUGAAAAGAAAUAAACUAAAUAAUAGCAAAUCUCUCCAACUAAUGAUGUAAAUGGAGAUUGUUAACCUCUCAGUGCUUGGGCAGUUGGGAGUGAAUUGCACAUUUGCUGGGUAUGUUACACACUGUCCCCAACCCUGGACAGUCACAGAUAGACAAGUUCACUAAAGGAAAGAGAAACAGAGGUACCAAUGUGGAUAUGGCUGGUAGGUCAGUCCAGCCUGAGACCUGGGUUAGCUGGGAUGGCAGGAGGCCUGAUGGACAUCACUUUACUAAUUGCCAGCGUUUGGCUGCAAAGGAGGUUUGUUUGGAUGCGGUGUCCUGGCCGACAGCUCUUGCCCGGGGCAACCCACCGGAUAGAUGGAGCUCCAUCCUUCCUCACAGUAAUGGAUGUUCUGUGCUGGGCAGUGCUCCCAGCUCCCAAGGACCCCAUAGCAUAAGCGACACGAGUUUUUUUGGAGAGGAGCUGAAAACCUGCCCGACUGCCGCUUGGAGAGAGGGAGAAGCCUGUGUGGGGCUUUAUUAAUAGGGAGCCAUUGGGGGCUGCUGAACAAAAGGACUUGUCCUGCAAUGGUACAGUAGGCAAGGAGAGACUGGGUUUAUUUGACUGUGUUUCAGCCAGGUAUGAUGGUUUUUUUUCCACUUUGAAAGUUCCUUUAUUCUUGUUUGUGCUUCCGCGAAACAGCUGUGGUGUUUCAGGGCUCCUGGGGUUUUUUUGUGUGCACAGUGGAGACGGGGGCAGAUUGGGGCAGGGAUGGGUUCACACCACAUGCUGGAAAACACCCAGCACCAUCCAGUGAACUUUAAACCUCACAUAGCCCUAAUCGUCACCUAAAAUCACUGCAAGGUGCCACAGCAGGAGAGCAGAAAGGGUGAAGAUCAAGGGCAGUUUUACACAACUUUAGAGAUAGAGGGAAUUUGUGAGGUGAGAAUGGCCAUGGGAUGCUAGAAGUAGAAAAAUCCCAGUGGGUCUGCCAAAUUUAACCUUGGCAUAGGGGGGAACCUGGAAAUAGUAUAUGUUUUAUGCAUUUUUUCACUGCUAGCUGUUCCCAGUCAGAUUCUUUAUCUGGUGAGGUUUUGUUCACUAAAGCUGCUUGAUGUUGCCUUUCAUUUUCCCCAGUCAUUCUUCCAUUCUAAUGACCUGUUGUUGUCCACCCUUAUUAUCUGGAGUCAUUUGGGUGAUGUCCCUGUUUACUUCUUAAAAAAAAUUCCACUACCUUUGCUAAAGGAUGGAUCACAUCCCAUUUAAAGUCAAGAGAAAGACUUCAAUGAGCCCUAAACUGGACCUGAAACUGUUGCUUUCUUUCAGGUUUCUCAAUAUGAUAUUUGCCUCCUAGCAACCACCAUUUGCAGGCAGUGGCACAGCAAUAUUAGGCUCUCAAUUGCAUGCUGCAACUGGCAUCCCAGUACAUCCCGCAGAGCUUUACAAAGCAGCUGGGAUAUCAACUCACUCCACUUGCUGCAAGUGUCAUUUAGACAGCAGCAUUUUACAACAGUCUGAAAUGCAAAGGAAAGUACUGUCCUACAGGGGCUGGAACAGAAGGAUAGGGAGUGUAGCAGUGUGGAUUAAUACCCCAGGUGUGACAGAGGUACCCAGAGGAUGUUUGGGGAUCACCUGCAGUUUUGCUGCCUGGAUUAUCCCAAAUGGAUGGUGAAGCUCUGUCUUGGAGCUGCACUUUUUGCAUGGGCUUAUCCUAGAUUCAGUCUUCUAGUCUUGUUCUUUGACAGCUAAUUUGGUGCCUGUUUCUUCCUUUAAUUACAGCAAUUCAUCACACUCUCUGCCAGUUCAUCCUCUCUGAUAUACUGGGAUGGUGAAUGUCAUUUGUUCAGAGCCUGGAGCAACUCAGUUGGGAAGAAUUAUACUUUUAAGCAGCAGCACACCUUUGGAAUCUUUCCUGGUUUAGCUGAGGGCGAAGAAGAUACACUAGAGAGCUGUGAAAUCAGAUGAUUGCAAAACAGAGACUCCUGAAGAACCUUCUUUUGAAGGCAAAGGUGACCUCUUUGCAGCAAGAUAUUAAUGGGUAUCGUAUGGACAGCUGCUGUGACUGCAAGGCAAGUUUCUUUAUUUAAGGAGGAAGAAUUCAUACUUGUCACCAGGGAAAAUUUUAAAUGUGCAAGAAGUGUCUCAUGUAGUAUGAAAUACUACUGUGCUCUUUCCUGAGGCAUAUGCUUAGAUAGGGUUUUCUCUAAAUAAAAUGAGGGUGGAACAUUGCAUGCCAGAUGUCUUCUUAAACAUACUUGCUAAACAAGGUCAUGUUAAUUCAUCUGGGUUCAAAACAAUUUCACUGACAGGAUCAGGGAUUAUUAUUUCAUGGAGACCGAAUAAAAGGUGCAGACAUCCCUGCUUAUUGCAGGAUGAUUGGACUAGAUGACCUUUGAAGGUCCCUUCCAACCCAAACUAUUCUAUGAUUCUCUAAUUCUUUAAAGUAUGGGAGCACAAGUUGGCAGCCAGUCCCUCUUCAGUGGAGCAAUGAGAGGCGUAGGGGUGAUGCCCCAUGAGGGGUCCAAGCACUCAGCUGAGCUGUCCAUGUGUCCAUCUGCAGACCAUGGCUCUGUCCAG